rnacentral:lncRNA from 1 species
UUCAGCCUCAACAUGAACAUGGGUUUCAUUAGGGAGUUACAGAGACUCUCUGGUGGUGGUGAUGGUGGUGUGAUUUUCAGCCCAACUUUUGAUCUGGAAACUUCUAUCUUUUCUCCCCACCUUCCUCCAGAUUUGAGGUUGAAAGGAGGAGAGGGAAGAGAAGGGAGGAGAGAGAAUCAAAGAACCGGCCCUCGGCUCUCCUGUGUCCCAUCUCUCUUCCUGGGACAAAGAGCUCAUGGGGAGACAGCACUGUGUAGAAGAAAGAAGAGCCGAUGAAAGACCUGGUUUAAAUCAUCCCUCUGAUUCCAAAUAACUAAGUGACCAUGGGUAAGUCACUUGAUCUUCCUUAGCCUCAGUUUCCUCAUCUGUAAAAUGAAUCUGACUA